GACGAACGCUGGCGGCGUGCUUAACACAUGCAAGUCGAACGGUAAGGCCCUUCGGGGUACACGAGUGGCGAACGGGUGAGUAACACGUGGGUGAUCUGCCCUGCACUUCGGGAUAAGCCUGGGAAACUGGGUCUAAUACCGGAUAGGACCACUGCCUGCAUGGGUGGUGGUGGAAAGCUUUUGCGGAGUGGGAUGGGCCCGCGGCCUAUCAGCUUGUUGGUGGGGUGAUGGCCUACCAAGGCGACGACGGGUAGCCGGCCUGAGAGGGUGACCGGCCACACUGGGACGGAGAUACGGCCCAGGCUCCUACGGGAGGCAGUAGUGGGGAAUAUUGCACAAUGGGCGCAAGCCUGAUGCAGCGACGCCGCGUGAGGGAUGACGGCCUUCGGGUUGUAAACCUCUUUCAGCACCGACGAAGCGCAAGUGACGGUAGGUGCAGAAGAAGGACCGGCCAACUACGUGCCAGCCGCCGCGGUAA
rnacentral:rRNA from 1 species